ACUAUUUUGGCAGAAAAGUGCAGCAAAUUUAGAAUUUGUAAAUAUGAUAAGUAUUAUAGGUAGUA
rnacentral:tRNA from 1 species